rnacentral:rRNA from 1 species
CAGGGGGGCGAAGCGUUGUUCGGAAUUACUGGGCGUAAAGGGCCAGUAGGCGGCCAACUAAGUCACACGUGAAAUCCUCAGGCUUAACCUGGGAACUGCGUGUGAGACUGGAUGGCUUGAAUUCGGGAGAGGGAUGCAGAAUUCCAGGUGUAGCGGUGAAAUGCGUAGAUAUCUGGAGGAAUACCGGUGGCGAAGGCGGCAUCCUGGACCGACAUUGACGCUGAACGGCGAAAGCUAGGGGAGCAAACGGGAUUAGAUACCCCGGUAGUCCUAGCCCUAAACGAUGAAUGCUUGGUGUGGCGGGUAUCGAUCCCUGCCGUGCCGAAGCUAACGCAUUAAGCAUUCCGCCUGGGGAGUACGGUCGCAAGGCUG